AUUUUAUGAAAGAAGCAAUUGUUGAUGCGAUUAUUGAGAACCCAACAGUUGCGAAAUUAAAGUUUCUGAAAGGUUUAACUCAGGAUCUAGAAGCCAACUUUAACAGAAAAUCAGAAGAGAAGAAGGAAGAUCUUUCUAAUACUGAAAGCAUUGAUUUUGAUGAUGACGAUUGGGGUAGUUGGGGUGAUGAAGAUUCUGGAAAAGAUAAAAGAAAAGAGCAAGUGUAUGAUGACAUGCAAUUGAAGUUAGAACUACGUGAUAGGGUGGAUAAUCUAUUCAAAUUUUUUCACAAAUUGUCCAGCUUUAAAAAGAAUGUUUCAUUCAGAGAGUGGUCACAGGCUCUUAGUAAGUUCAAUGAUGAUCCUUACUCAAACAAAGGACUGCUUUAUAAAGUGCUAUCAAGGGUGUUCCUGGGUCCCAAACAGCAAGCUUCUUCA
rnacentral:misc_RNA from 1 species